CUUGGUCAUUUAGAGGAAGUAAAAGUCGUAACAAGGUUUCCGUAGGUGAACCUGCGGAAGGAUCAUUAUUGAAAAAACUAAAACAAGCUGUUGCUGGCUCUUCUUGAACAUGUGCACGCUUGUCAUUGUUAUUUUAUCCAACUGUGCACGCAUUGUAGAUCUAGUAGACUGAGGAGCUUUUCUUCUCAUCUCAGGUCUAUGUCACUUUAUUAAAACCUUGAUUGUUUUUUAAACAUGCAAAAAGUUUUGAAUAACAUACAACUUUCAGCAACGGAUCUCUUGGCUCUUGCAUCGAUGAAGAACGCAGCGAAAUGCGAUAAGUAAUGUGAAUUGCAGAAUUCAGUGAAUCAUCGAAUCUUUGAACGCAACUUGCGCUCCUUGGUAUUCCGAGGAGCAUGCCUGUUUGAGUGUCAUUAAAAUCUCUCAACUGCAUCCAGUUUUGUCUGGAUGUGGCUUGGAUAAAUGGGGGUUUGCAGGUUUUGAAACAAAGUCUCAAAGUCAGCUCUCCUGAAAAGCAUUAGUAGAGGAUAGUCCUUGCAUCUACAGGUGUAUUAACUAAUAUUUGCAUCUGUUAAAGGGAUCUUGCUGCUUUCUAAUAUAAUUUUUGAUAAGUUUGACCUCAAAUCAGGCAGGACUACCCGCUGAACUUAAGCAUAUCAAUAAGCGGAGGA
rnacentral:rRNA from 1 species